CUUACCAGUGUGAGGUGUGCAAGCAAUAUGGCUUCCCAUAAUCCCUUUCAUUACCAUUUGGAUAUGGCGCUUGACGUUUCAUUGUAUUUAUCUUUCUUGGCGCCACAUCUCUUAGAGAUUUUUUCAGACAUCUUCGAGAACUUGGGGGACAUGAUGUAGAUGAUGAAGGUCAAGAAAGGCAGUGUGCAAGUGCUGCUAGGAGGGCUGCUGGCCCUGUAAAUAGGGUCCAGGCUGUUGAGGGAAAUGGUGAUGAUCGAAUUGGAGCCCCAGGGAUUGCUGGAGCAGGGCAAAUAAUUAGCAGAAAUGCAGAAAAUGUUGCUGCCCAUUUGGAAAUGCAAGCAGCACGCCUUAAAGCACACGUUGAGCAAAUGUUUGAGGGACUUAACGAUGCUGAUGGUCCAUAAGAUGUGCCCUUUGAUUAACUUGUUGGGAUGCAAGGACCUGCUUUUUAUUUAGAUGAAGAUGCAAUGACUGUUCUGUCGAUCAAUGCUAUUUUCCUUGGAGUUGUAACUUUUAUCCCUUUCUUACUAGGGAGGGAUCGAAGCUCUUUUAAAACUUGCACUGCGGCCAAGCAUUACACAAUCACCUGAAGGCAUGCCUGUUGCGUUACACAACACUGUUGUUUUUAAGGGUUUCACUCAGCAUCAUUCAAUUUCUCUGGCGCAAGCCUUUUGUCCCUCUAUUUGGGAAAAUCUUAAGAGAGCUCUACGCAGAUUUAAAUACAUGGCUGGCUCAUGCUUGUUGUCUCGAGAAACUGCUGCUGAGAGUGAGAUUUCUUCCUCUCUAUUUGUUGUUGAAUAUCUAUUAUUCCUAGCUGCUUCUAAAGAUAACCGGUGGAUAAGUACUUUGCUUACGGAAUUUGGAGAUUCAAACAAGGAUGUCUUGGAAGAUAUUGGGAAGCUCCACAGAGAAGUUCUUUGGCAGAUUGCAUUGCUUGAAGAUUUAAAUUUUAAUACUGUGUUUGAAAGCUCUUCUUCUUUAAAUGAUGCGCAGAGAACAGAUUCAAGCACUGAUGAAGCGGAUGAACAAAGGUUUAAUUCCUUUAGGCAGUACCUCGAUCCAUUAUUAAGGAGGAGAGUUUUUGGUUAUUUUCAAAAUUAUCAAUCAAAUUGGAGCCUGCGCACCCCAGCAAAAGUCAAUGCAUUCAUUGACUGAGUGAUUAAGAGUCCAUUACAUGAUAUAGCUAUUACCUUUUUCACGCUUUCGGUGGGUGUACAAUAAGGGAAGCUUCCAUCAUUGGAGCCCACUUUUUUUUCAUUUCGAUACUUAUUUCAAGACAUACAUUUCUUCUAGGAAAGAUAUUCUUCUUUCUGACAUGAGAUUUGAUGAAGAUCCCUUUCCCAAACAAUCUGAUUUACAAAUCUUGAGUCCUGUAGAUAAUUUUGGUAAAUUGCCACAACUAGAGCUCAUAUAGGGGUUUAAAGAAUUUCAAUCUUCUACUUACAUGGAGUGAUCCAUACAUCAUCAUAGCUAUACUUUAAACUCUUUCUACGUUGGUGAAGAUAACCCUUUCAAAGCUACAUAGUAGUGGGAAGUUCAUUAGCUAUGGCUCUUUGAACAGCCAUCUUCUCUCUAUGGCCCAAGUUCGGGGAAGUAAAGAGGCUUCUGUUGGGCAUAUAGUCAUAUACAAGUAAUGGUUCAUUUGGGUUCUCAGUACACCAUCGAUUGAGCUCAACUUAGUUCACUGUAUGUGAACCUGUGAAUUCCAACUAAAAGAAAGCCGAAAACAAGGAAAUAACGGCAAGCUUAGGUAUAUAUGCCACAUCACUUUUCCGUCAAAGCAAAAUCUGCUUGACGUUCAUUCUCUAUCAAUUGCACGGAGGUUGCUUAAGAAGUUUGUUGCCCUCCUCCCGAAUGACACACUUUGUGGCGACCCUUAGUCAAGCAUUCUAUUCGGUUUAAGUGUGCAACCGAGGAGGUUCUCCUAGCUUCUUCUAGCAGGCU